UGGGACUGAGACACGGCCCAGACUCCUACGGGAGGCAGCAGUGAGGAAUAUUGCGCAAUGGACGAAAGUCUGACGCAGCAACGCCGCGUGCGGGAUGAAGGCCUUACAGGUCGUAAACCGCUGUAGAAGGGAAAAAAUAUCCCGGUCGCCGGGAUUGAUGGUACCCUUAAAGUAAGCCUCGGCUAACUACGUGCCAGCAGCCGCGGUAAUACGUAGGAGGC
rnacentral:rRNA from 1 species